rnacentral:misc_RNA from 1 species
AGAGUCGGAAGAUCUGUGAAACCUCCGUAAGCCCCAGUGUGACUCGCACUUUCCUUCAGCGCCAACUCGGAUGAACUGACUCAGCUACUUUUAAUCUCACAGCCGAUUCCUGUCGAGUCUAGCUGAGUUGAUCACUGUAAGAUCAUCUAAAUUUCUCUCUCUAACAUCGCGAAUUUCGAGGUUUAACCUAAUUUUUCAAAAUUCAAUCCGUUUGAGCUAGGGUUUUGAUUGAUAUCUGUUUAAUUGCAGAGAAUGUGAUGCUUUGAAAUUCUAAGAGCAUAAAAUGGUGGAAUUCACUGAUCCUAAGGCUAGUUCUUAGAUCCAUUAGGUGAACAUAGCUUUUGAAGAAGAGAAAUGAUAUUAAUUAUCAAUUUUUUCUUAUUUUAUAUUAAAUUUUGAAUAUUUUUAGAAGCAUACUAUUUCUAUACGAUCAUGAAUUACAUAAAUGAUGAAUCGUUUCAUGGAUAGGUCACUAUAUGUCUUUGCUUAUGAACACUGGUUGGAGAUUAUUUUAUUCAUGCUCAGAGAGGACGCUGUAAGCUUGCUAAUGUGCUUAAACUGUCACAACCUCUGGGGUUUGUCUCUAAUCUGAUAUACUUGCUUCUUAUGGAACUUUAAAAGUAUUUUGGUUGGAUUAUAAUUUGAUGAGGAAGCCAAUAAGGUGAACUGAUCAACCAUUAUAUAAUUUGAUUUGAUUAUCUUAAGGUACCUUUUUUGGUGACAUUGUAAAUUUUCUGGUUGAAAUAGCCUAAAUAAUGCCCUGCUAUAUUACCUGACAAUAUUUGAGAGCAGCAGCAAUUAUCAAAUUAUCUUAUUGUCUUUCAUUAAUUACUUAUCCACUACCACUGACAACCUUUUAAUGUUUGCCAAAUUGUGACAUUUUUACAUGAUCAUUCCAAAUUAUGAUUGGUAAAGAAGCAAAUGAAGGAUGCUAAUGAUUAAUGACAAUUUAUUGGUGCUUAUUGUACUAAUCUUGGAUUAAAUUUCUCAUCCAAAAAGGUAUGCUCACCAUCUAUGAAAAUUCAGUUUCAAAAGGUUUGCACGUUAUGGUAGUUAUAGAUGAAUGUCUAUGCCAGAGCCAGAAUUUUUUAGUAGCUUUUAUCCUGUAAUUAAUCAGUUUUAUUUUGUUUCUACUGAUUUUAAUUUGCAUAUAUAAUUAUCUUAAUUUCAUUGUUAAGCAGAUUUUAUUCUCGCUUUUCUGUCUGUCAUGUUGUCCUGCAUGGUUCUUUGACACUUUCAAGUAGGUUCACCUAUCCUAUCAUCUUAGCGUACUUUUUUUUUACAAUAGUCAAGGCCAUUAGAAGGGACCAGUUUAAUUACACUAUCUGAUUGUCUAUGGAACUUGAUAUAGGAAGUUGUGAUGGCAUUUGCAACAUUAUUUAUUUUUUGCCCAUAAUACUUAGUUUAAAACAUUAUUUAUUUAGUGUUCCUUUCAAUUUUUUCUCAGAUGGAAGAAGUUUGUGUCAAUAGUGAGCCAGUAUUUGAUGAAGGCAAUGACUAUGAGUUUGAGGAAGACUGCAGUGCAGUAGAACAUGACAAUGAAACUAGUGAAAGAUAUUUAAAGAAAGAACCCCUCCCACCUACUGUGGGUUUGGAGUUUGAUUCUUUUGAUGAAGUUUAUGAUUUUUAUAAUGUAUAUGCUAAGGAACAAGGAUUUGGCAUUAGAGUGAGCAAUUCAUGGUUUAGAUCGAAGAGAAAGGAACGGUAUAGAGCAAAACUUAGCUGCAGUAGUGCAGGUUUUAAGAAAAAGAGUGAAGCAAAUAAUCCACGACCAGAAACAAGAACUGGUUGUCCUGCAAUGAUAGUCAUUAGGCUUGUGGACUCAAAAAGGUGGAGAAUAGUUGAAGUUGAGCUUGAACACAACCAUCCUGUGAACCCCCAAAUUAAACGGUUUUAUAAGUCGCAUAAAAAAAUGAUUAUUGCAGCUCAGAAAGCUCAACAACCCCCAGAGCCUGUCACAGAAGUACACACCAUCAAAUUGUAUCGAACAGCUCUCAUGGAUGCUGGGAGUAAUGGAUACUCAAAUUUUGAUAAAAGAGAGGGUGCUAAUCUUGUUGAUCACUCUAAACAUUUGGAACUUAAAGAAGGAGAUGCACAUGCAGUGUAUAACUACUUUUGUCGCAUGAAGUUGACAAGUCCAAACUUCUUUUACUUGAUGGAUCUUGAUGAUGAUGGGCGCUUGAGGAAUGUGUUUUGGACUGAUGCUAGAUCCAGGGCUGCAUAUGGAUAUUUUCAUGAUACAGUUGCAAUUGACACAACAUGCUUGACAAACAAAUAUGAGAUCCCUCUGAUUUCAUUUGUUGGUGUUAACCACCAUGGACAAUCAAUAUUAUUGGGCUGCGGCUUUCUUGGACAUGAUUCAGUAGAAUAUUUCGUUUGGAUUUUCAGGGCAUGGCUUAAAUGCAUGCAAGGGCGUCCUCCACAGGUUAUCAUUACUGACCAGUGUAAACCCUUGCAAAGUGCAGUGUCUGAGGUCUUCCCUGAAGCCCAUCAUUGUUAUUGCCUGUCAUAUAUUAUGCAAAGAGUUCCAGAGAGGUUGGGAGGGUUGAAGGGAUUUGAAGCCAUCAAAAGACAAUUGAACAAGUCAGUGUAUAAUUCUUUGAAGAUAGCUGAGUUUGAGACUUCUUGGGUUGAAAUGAUCAGGCAGCAUGGACUGGGUGAUAAUAAAUGGCUACAAACAUUAUAUGAAGAGAGGCAACGGUGGGUUCCAGUUUAUUUGAAGGACAUAUUUUUUGCGGGAAUGAUUCGCAUACAAGAAAAUGAAGGUUCAAAUGCUUUUUUUGAUGGUUAUGUACAUAAACAUACAUCUUUUAAGGAAUUUGUUGAUAAGUAUGAUCUAGCACUACACAGGAGACUCCUUAGAGAAGCCAUGGCAGAUCUAGAGUCGAGAAACUCGAGCUUUGAGUUGAGAACAAAAUGCAAUUUUGAAGUGCAGCUCUCUAAAGUGUAUACAAAAGAAAUUUUUAAGAAGUUUCAGUCUGAGGUUGAGGGGGUGUACUUGUGCUUCAACACAAGACAGGUUAGUGUUAACGGGCCAAUAGUUACAUACAUAGUUAAAGAACGGGUAGAAGUGGAAGGAGGUGAGAAGGAGGUUAAACAUUUUGAGGUUUUAUAUGAGACAAGCCAAGUGGAUAUUCGAUGCAUAUGCAGCUUGUUCAAUUACAAAGGUUAUCUAUGCAGGCAUGCAUUAAAUGUUCUUAAUUAUAAUGGGGUGGAAGAAAUCCCUGCCCGCUACAUUCUGCCGCGUUGGAGUAAAGAUUUCAAGUUCAAGUGUUUUCCAGAUCAUGUUUCCAGUAAUAUUGAUGUGUAUAACCCAAUUUACCGGCAGAUUCAUCCUUAUAAGGUGGCCAUUCCAAUUGUGGAAGGAGGAGCACAAUCACCAGAUCAUUAUAAGAUUGCUUUGCAAGAAUUGGAGGACUUGUUGAAUAAAUUAAGUCUUGUAGACAACUAGUGUAAAUUAGAUGCAUAGUUGUGUGUAGAAACUAGCAAGAAAUUCAAAAUGCCUUUUCACAUUAAUGGAUUCCCUUUUUUUCUUUUCUUUUUCCCCCUUCCUUGUUAUCUAAGGAUAGCACAACUACCCUCUUUCUCUUCUCAGUCUCAAGAGUGUAAAAUAGUUGGAAAAUGUUAACUGGAGUCUCAUUGUCUGACCUAUUGAGCCCUUGUUAGUUGUCAUCACUUGGCUUGUUCAUGGUUCAUGG